AAACAUUCUCUUGUUUACUUUCUUAAUGGAGGUUUUUGGAUUGUGUUAGUCUGGAUCUUCACUCCAGACCUGUUCGCCUUGGGAGACCCAAACAGGAGCAUAGUGCUCCCGACGACAUAGCUCUGGAGAUCCCUAGAUCACACAAGCCCUUCCGCCACGCCAAGGCCCCGAUCCAGGAAGGGCCAAUACAUAUAAUAUUUUGGUUAAUAACAGUUGAGCUCCUCCUUAGUACACAUUUCUGUGGGAAACACACACUUGGACUGGAGACUCCACUGUGUUGCUGCUGCUGCAGGUGGUGUGUGUUGACCAGCAGGAGGCGCCGUUCACUGUAGAGCCAAUGAAAGAGCAAAGUGGCAGAGUAGUGAAGGGGACACUGUACUCUAGAGAGUGUUGUUACUGUUCUCAUAGUGACCAUUAAACAGUCAGUGUUCUUGCUGAAAGGACAGGACUGCUCAUUGCUCAUCACACUGAUGCUCCAACACACACCACACACACAUCAUCCUCAUCAUCAUCAUCAUCACCUGGACAAUAGAUGGUCAAAGUGGUCAGUCCAUCAGCACUCUGGUGUCCAGUGGAGGAAAAAAUACAACAAUCGGAAUAUCAGUGUGACUUGAAGAGUCUUUAGAGGCACAGAUUUGCUCACAUCCAUAUUUUACCUUGUUUACCAGAACAACUCUUUUCCUCUACAGAUCCUGUGUACAAACCUAGAGUGAGCAGAGACUGCAGUGAGACCCAGUGCUUGUUGGUCUAUGUAGGAAAGGAGACUAAACACACCAAAUACUCCUGGAAAGAGAACGGAAAAACUACACCUGGAAACACCUUGACAGUUCAGAUGAGCGGAGAGCAGAGUAAAAGUUACACCUGUGUGUUCAGUAACCCUAAGAGUGAGGAGCACAGUGACCCGGUCAGUGUGAUGGACGUAUCUCCAGGCGUUUUUAUCAUUUCUUGGCCGCAGUUGAACUUACUGCCCGUACCACAGUAAAGGAAGGAAAGAACCUAAGAGGAACAUCAGAGCACUUUUGAGUUGUCUCUACACCACAGGAGCAACAUUGAGACAAGUCUGCAGUCUAACAGGUACCCUGUUUUUUCCUUUUAGUUGCACAUUUACCGUGUUCAGUUU
rnacentral:lncRNA from 1 species